UAUAAAAGACAGUUAAUGCUUAUAGAAAAUACCCACCAUCAAUAUUUAUAUACAAAGUAUGAUGCACAUACACAUUGACACACUUUCUUCGUCCUGGCCUUGCGACCUCAGUCUCUCCGUCCUCAGAAAGACACUGAAAUAGCCUAGUUCAGGGGGAUUUCAGAGUACUAGUAAAAACAUGCCUGUAAAUGAAGGAGCCUCGUUGCUAUGUUGCUUUGUUAUUGUAUCCAAGUGCGAAGUGGGUCCAAGUAUCCCAGAGUGAAUCAGAGCUCUCACACUCUGCUGCUCGUCGUCAGGACGGGACUUAUAACCUUUCUGAAGUACCCCUGACAGAUAAUGUGCAGCGAUAUCAUGUUCUUCCUCCAGUAAAUCAUGACAACAGCUGCUCUAUGGAGGCAUGAUGUUCAAUUUAGGAUUCUGGAUGGGAUCGAAGACGAUUUGACAGAAGGGAAACAUACAUAAAAGCUGGCAGUGAGAGUUGUUCUUAUCCUAAACCUUUUCCUCUAUAGGGGCUACCAAGGAAACCGGACUCCAACAUGACAUGUUGAUGAAAGGGGAAAGCAAUGGCUUAUACACACACACUUGUAGUUUUCCUCCAUCUUGUAUUUCUUCCAUUAAAUAAUGCAGCAGGGACAACGGAUAAAAACAUGAAUCAAGGCCAUCUGUAAAACUUUCCCUGAGUCCUUUCCUCAGACUCUUCCAUUGCUAGGGUACCCAAUGUUGCUGGGAGAUGGAGGGAAGGCAGCCUGAAAACAAGGCCUCCUAUCUGUGCAGUAGUACCUUCCUAUAGCAAGGCAGGAGGAAACGCCAAAAUGUCUGACUCCUAACAUACCAUCAGAGCUGAGCUGGAUGAAUGGGCUUGGGCCCACUAAGAAAAUAGAUACCCUCCAUUUGUAGCAAGUAGACAUUAGAUACACUUGAAGUGGACCAAGAAGACCCCUGACAAUCAUAUCUGUUUUCAUAGUCCAUUUUCUGAGAAAUUGGUGUCAGGCUGUUGUUAAGACCACGCAGACAGAACUCUUCAGAAUGAAGUGGCAGAGGGAUCUAUUGCUCAGAGAAGAGCUGCAGCAGAUCAACAUCUGUCUCUUCCAUUCCUCUCUGUGUAUACAAUGAAGAGAUUCCAUGUUAUGUUUUCUGUACUUAACUGUACCAAUGUUGUUGAUUUUGUCAAAUAAAUGACCCGAGGCUUAUUAAUAAAGACUCAAACUCAGUAAAACACA